rnacentral:lncRNA from 1 species
UUUAAUAUUUGGAUUUAGGGUUUAGUGAUUCUGGGUUUAGGGUUUAGUAAUUGGAAGGUGGGUGUUGAGGUUGAGGUCAACAUAACUUCUUACAUGCAAGCAUAUACAGUUCAUAAUUUCACCAGUAUGUACUAUACUAUUGAUUUUGUUCCAUUUUAUCUGAGUUUAGGGUUUAUAUUUGUAUUUAAAAUUUAUAUUUAGGUUUAUAAUUUAGUGAUUAGGGUUUAGGGUUUAGUAUUUGGAAAGUGGGGGUUGAGAUUGGGGCCAUCAUUAAUUUCUUACAUGCAAGUUUAGACAUUUCAUAAUUUCGUAAAUAGGUGCUAUACUAUUUAUUUUAUUUCAUUCUAUUUAGGUUUAGAGUUUAUAUUUGGAUUUAAGAUUUAUAUUUUGGUUUUGCUUUAGUGAAUAGGGUCUACGAUUUAGUAUUUAGGGUUAGGGUUUAAAUUUGAGUUUAGGGUUUACUGAUUUUGGGUUUAGGGUUUAGUAAUUGGAAGGUGGAGGUUGAGGUUGGGGUCAACAUAACUUAUUUCAUGCAAGCAUAUAUAUUUCAUAAUUUCACCAAUAUGUACUAUACCUUUGAUUUUGUUCUAUUCUAUCUGAGUUUAUGGUUUAUAUUUGUAUUUAAGAUUUAUAUUUGGGUUUAAGAUUUAGUGAUUAGGGUUUAGGGUUUAGUAUUUAGUAUUUGGAAGGUGGGAGUUGAAAUUGGGGCCAUCAUUAACUUCUUACGUACAAUCCUAAACAUUUCAUAAUUUCGUAAAUAUGUACUAUUUACUUUAUUUCAUUAUGUUUAGGUUUAGAGUUUAUAUUUAGAUUUAGGAUUUAUAUUUUGAUUUUGGCUUUAGUGUAUAACAUUUAGGAUUUAGUAUUUAGGGGUUGUGGAUGUGAUUGUGAUAUGCUUUAAUAUCUAGAGUAGAAAUGGAAUUGAUGUUUUAUAUUAUUUUGUUAAUAUGAAGUAAAUAGAAUACCAUUUAUUGCAGGAAUGUUUUAUUUUUGUCCACUUAUUUAUUGAACACAGUGAAAGUGAAACGUAUGCGGUUAUUUAAUACGUAACGUGGAAUGUGUAUCUUCCCUUUUAAGAUAAUAGUUCGUGGUAAAUAAUGGUCGUACAUGUUGUUGUCAAUAUCAUCUCACCAUCUCUUCUUUACCGGUUACUUGUAAGUCC